UCCCUCUCCUCGGUACUCAUUUGAUCUCCUUCCUCAACUCACUCACCAGGAGCAGGGUUUAUCACUCACUAUUCGUCUAUAAACCCUAAGAAGUUAUCCUUGAAGCUCCUCCCUUUUAAAGCUUCCUGAAACCCUAGAAUUCCAUCGCAGAUAUAUGGACUGGACGGAUUCAUACAUUCCUACCCAUCACCUCAUUGUUGCAAUUUUCAAAUCCACAAUUGUGUCCUGCCACCGUCAAUUUCAGCGGUAAGUUCUCUAAAUCAUACCGAAUAUAGAUUCACGGCUUUUCUUUCAAUCAGGUGUGUGAGAAUACACAACGGUUGAUUUCUGAUUCGCUUUGAAUUCAAUUACGAAAUCUAGGGUUUUUGUACCUCUUUCUCAGCACUUGCGUCUAUUAUCAUUGGAGUCAAUUUCGUUAAAAUAUUGAGCUGAAUGAAAGUUCUAUCGAUUCGUCCAACCCCCUAAAUGAUUCAAGAGUUUUCUGAAUAUGAGCGAUGGAGGCAAUGAGGAGAGUGCGAGAGAGAUAGACAAUGUAAUUGAGAUUAACCCUGCUAUUAGCCGAUCGGGCGCCAAUGAGUUCGGCCGAGCAAUUGCAAAAAUUGCGGUGGCGCAGAUAUGUGAAAGUGUGGGAUUUGAGAGCUUUAACGAGUCAGCUCUCGAAUCUCUUUCUGAUAUUGCAGUUAGGUAUCUUUGUGACCUAGGGAAAACCGCAAGUUCAUAUGCUAAUUCAGCAGGCAGGACUGAGUGUAAUGUGUUUGAUAUAAUUCAGGGGAUGGAAGAUUUUGGGCUGUUGCGAGGGGUUUUGGGUGCCUCAGAGGCUCCUAAUUGCGUCAUAGAAUCUGGUGCCUUGAGGGAGAUCAUGGACUACGUUGAGUCUGCUCAGGAGAUUCCAUUUGCUCAGCCUGUCCCCCAAUUUCCUGUUGUCAGAGCUAGGAAACUGAUACCUAGUUUCUUGCAGAUGGGCGAGACACCAGAAUUCAAGCAAAUACCAGAUUGGCUGCCUGCAUUUCCUGAUCCCCACACAUAUCGACACUCGCCUGUCUGGAAUGAGAGGGUGACGGAUCCUCGUGCUGAUAAGAUUGAGUUAGCUAGGCAAAGACGGAAGGCAGAGAGAUCUUUAUUGAGUUUGCAACAGAGGUUGGUGUGUAAUGGUGAUGUGAUAGCAUCGACCUCUACCACGGAACCUCAUGAUAGCAGGCUGGAAAUGCAACCUAAUGCAAGUGAAAACCCAUUUCUUGCCAAGCCUUUACAAGCUGGAGAGAAAGAUGUCUCUCCUGUCAUUCUUCCUGAUACGGUUAGGAAUCAAGCAGAUGGGGAAAAUCACAUUUCUUUGUUGGAGGCAUUUGCUCCAGCUAUUGAGGCAAUGAAGGAUGGGCCUUCUGAAUCAGGACAUGAUGUGGAAAAAACUCUUCCAGACAAAAGACCUGCAGUCUGUUUGGAGUUCAAAACUGGGAAAAAGGUUUUAGGUGAUUUGUUGGAUCUGAGACUCAGAAACAGGGGUUCUGGAAGAACAGCAUCUUGGUUUGGCCAUAAUGAUGAGAAAGAUGACAAAAAAAGGAGAGCUGAGUUUAUACUUAGGCAGUCUAUGGAGAACCAACAGGAGCUCACUCAGUUGUAAAUUAGUACAUUGAAUUCUUUGCUUGUUGAGAACUAUCAUACUUCGUUCAAAAGAAGAGCUGCGGAUUAGACUAGAGCAGAGAUAGAGGCACACAGUAGUUGUACUGUUAUUGUGAUGAGAGUCCAUGUGGGGAUCUGAACCCAUGUGAGGCAUUUUUGAGGGACACUUAAAUGUGGAGUAGAUGUAGCUUGUCAUUUUUUGGAUGAUAGUGAUUCACCCACCCUACAUGCUGCUGUUGAGUCGUAGCUCCAUUGCUUAA